rnacentral:rRNA from 2 species
UACAGAGGCCACAAGCGUUAGACGGAAUCACUGGGCUUAAAGCGUGUGUAGGCGGGAUGGUAAGUACCUUGUGAAAUCCCACAGCUUAACUGUGGAAUUGCUUGGUAUACUGCCGUUCUUGAGUCACCUAGGGGCAGCUGGAACAGAUGGUGGAGCGGUGAAAUGCAUAGAUAUCAUCUGGAACGCCAAUGGUGCAGACAAGCUGCUGGGGGUGUACUGACGCUGAGGCACGAAAGCCAGGGGAGCAAACGGG